AUUGAACGCUGGCGGCAUGCUUUACACAUGCAAGUCGAACGGUAACAGGGAGCUUGCUCCGCUGACGAGUGGCGAACGGGUGAGUAAUGCGUCGGAACGUGCCGAGUAGUGGGGGAUAACGCAUCGAAAGGUGUGCUAAUACCGCAUACGUACUGAGGUAGAAAGUGGGGGACCUUCGGGCCUCACGCUAUUCGAGCGGCCGACGUCUGCUUAGCUAGUUGGUGGGGUAAAGGCUCACCAAGGCGACGAUCAGUAGCGGGUCUGAGAGGAUGGUCCGCCGCACUGGGACUGAGACACGGCCCAGACUCCUACGGGAGGCAGCAGUGGGGAAUUUUGGACAAUGGGCGCAAGCCUGAUCCAGCCAUGCCGCGUGUCUGAAGAAGGCCUUCGGGUUGUAAAGGACUGUUGUCCGGGAGCAAAUGCCUGGUGUUAAUAGCAUCGGGAGCUGAGAGUACCGGAAGAAUAAGCACCGGCUAACUACGUGCCAGCCGCCGCCGUAACAC
rnacentral:rRNA from 1 species